UGUUCCCUGUGGCAGGGAAAACCUGUCUUUUAUUUGGUCUUUUAAAUUAGACAUUAUUCUGCUGAAUAAGACUGGCUGUAGGGCUGCAAAGUCUAAAGAAAUUAGUUUCUUCAUUUUGUGAUUGGAUAUGUCUCCAAUGCUGUGUGAGAGGCACAUUCCGAAUAUGAGUGAUGAAAAUCUACCUCCUCACUGGUCUAACCUGAUCAUCUAGCAUUUUUGAUUCACUGGAGUUGUGAUGGAAGUGAAGCUCCCUCAGGUUGCCUGCUUCUUUCUAGCAGCUAUGGGAUGAGGCUUGGCCAAUCCCCAUCCAUGUCUUCAUCUCCCAUUGUGCCUGAAGCUGUGACGUCAUCACCUCGUCACCUAGGAGGCGAGACAGCUGAGGCACAGGAUUCUGUGUCCUCAGACCUCGAUGGAGGAAGUUGUACCAGAGGCCAGUUUAUCCCCAAAUGGUGUUCCUUGGCUCUAUGCCCUGUUUUCUAUGCUCUUUGUCUUUUUUCUCUUUGUCAUGUUUUCUCCCUUUUUACUUGAGAUAGACCAACACGUAAAGAAAUUCUUGCUCAAAUGCAGGUUUACUCUGCACAAUAUUGUCCAUAAGGAUAAAGAAAAUGAUGACAUGAAGAUAGACCAUCUAGGAAGACCAGGCUGUCCCCUGGAGUCACCAAGGACAGAAGUUCUUGGAGGGAAGGAAGAGAUGAGAGGAGAUCCCCCACUGUUCGUGAGGAUAGCAAGAGAGCCCAGGGAUUCCGAGACUGAGAUCUGUCCCCCUGGACCAUCCGUUUGAUGAAAGUAGCUAAGCCUGUAAGGAGUCCUGUGACAUCAUAUCCCAGAUGGGAGAGGUCUUCAGAGACCUUCAUUGCCUGUGUUUAUACUGGGGAAAAAAGACAAUAAAUAUUGUGAGACUCUCAGAAAAGUUCU